UACAGAGGGGGCGAGCGUUAUUCGGAAUUAUUGGGCGUAAAGGGCGCGUAGGCGGCGUUUCAAGUGACGGGUGAAAUCCCUCGGCUUAACCGAGGAACUGCCUGUCAGACUGGAAGGCUUGAGACCGGGAGAGGUGAGUGGAAUUCCCAGUGUAGCGGUGAAAUGCGUAGAUAUUGGGAGGAACACCAGUGGCGAAGGCGGCUCACUGGACCGGUACUGACGCUGAGGCGCGAAAGCGUGGGGAGCAAACAGG
rnacentral:rRNA from 1 species